UACGUAGGAUGCAAGCGUUGUUCGGAAUUACUGGGCGUAAAGAGUACGUAGGCGGUUUGAUAAGUCUGAUAUUAAAGACUGGGGCUUAACCUCAGGAAUGUAUCGGAAACUGUCAGACUAGAGGACAAUAGAGGAAGUAGGGAAUUCUCAGUGUAGCGGUGAAAUGCGUAGAUAUUGGGAAGAACACCAGUGGCGAAAGGCGG
rnacentral:rRNA from 1 species